UAGGGAAUCUUCGGCAAUGGACGGAAGUCUGACCGAGCAACGCCGCGUGAGUGAAGAAGGUUUUCGGAUCGUAAAGCUCUGUUGUAAGAGAAGAACGAGUGUGAGAGUGGAAAGUUCACACUGUGACGGUAUCUUACCAGAAAGGGACGGCUAACUACGUGCCAGCAGCCGCGGUAAUACGUAGGUCCCGAGCGUUAUCCGGAUUUAUUGGGCGUAAAGCGAGCGCAGGCGGUUAGAUAAGUCUGAAGUUAAAGGCUGUGGCUUAACCAUAGUACGCUUUGGAAACUGUUUAACUUGAGUGCAGAAGGGGAGAGUGGAAUUCCAUGUGUAGCGGUGAAAUGCGUAGAUAUAUGGAGGAACACCGGUGGCGAAAGCGGCUCUCUGGUCUGUAACUGACGCUGAGGCUCGAAAGCGUGGGGAGCGAACAGGAUUAGAUACCCUGGUAGUCCACGCCGUAAACGAUGAGUGCUAGGUGUUAGGCCCUUUCCGGGGCUUAGUGCCGCAGCUAACGCAUUAAGCACUCCGCCUGGGGAGUACGACCGCAAGGUUG
rnacentral:rRNA from 1 species